GGGGAUGUAGCUCAGUUGGUAAGAGUGCUUGUCUUGAAUGCACAAGGCCUUGGGUUCAAUCCCUAGCACUACCA
rnacentral:tRNA from 1 species